GUCUGCUUUGCUGGGCAGGUCACUUCUCAUGUUAUUCUGACAAAAAACCUCAGACCAUCAUUGUAGAUUAAGGACUGACUUUGGUUAGACUGAUGUAGAUUUUAAAAUUGGACUGCAAGAGAUUUGCACUUACAGCCACUAGUCUUCCUAGAGUCAUCCCACAAUAUCCCUGGCCAUAGCUUAGUACACUAUCACAGCAAUACAGUUUCUAGUUACCAGGACAGCUUAUAUGUUAUGUACAAUAUAGUAAACCGUGUAAGUUACUAGAUUUAACCUAUUACCAUUGUGCUGUACUAGAAAGAAAUCAGCUAUAAUUCCAUGCAAAC